rnacentral:lncRNA from 1 species
CCAAUUCAAUACGGAUAGAGUUUUUCAAAUCUUUUGUAGAUGGACCUUUACCUUCGGGAUAUCUAUCUUUGAAGUAUGCUCCAAUGACUUUUGCUGUGGCAUGUGGAUUAUGACUCGUAAGAUGUUCCGAGCCACAUGUAUGCAUCUUUUCAUACUUUUUAAUAUAAAAUCUAUCAGAAUUUUCAACUUUCACCGCUCUUAGCCACCACUUGCACUCAAG